rnacentral:lncRNA from 1 species
AACAAUACAAGAAUCGUUAUAUAUACCUCGCCGGAACCUUCCGCCACGGUAAGGUGUUGCUGGGGCUGUUGCUCUUCAUUCCCAUCGGCGGACAUGUUGAGGAACAUGUCCGCCUGGGUGCCCUCUUCAUUGGUGUACGAUAGUGGAAGGUUGUCGCCACUGCCAUCACCAGCGAUUAUCUGCUCCAUGAUAUACCUUGCGGUCUCAUCGUCUGCCAUUUCAACUAUUGAUUGAAACAUACAUGGAAUCAUACAUGACAGUCAUACAAAUUGCCUUAGUUAUAUGUACAUAAGGGUAUAUACAUGAAAUCAUAAAAUAACAAGAAUCCCACAAAGUCCGGAAUAUUUAUACAAAUUUCUACAAAUUAGUAGUACUUUGUGACAAAUUUCUAGCAAUAACAUGAAUUUUGUACGAAUUUCUAGUAAUAACAUGAAUUUUUACGAAUUUCUAGCAAUAACAUGAAUUUUUACGAUUUUCUAGCAAUAACAUGAAUUUUGUACGAAUUUCUAGCAAUAACAUGAAUUUUUACGAAUUUCUAGCAAUAACAUGAAUUUGUAUGAAUUUCUAGCAAUAACAUGAAUUUGUAUGAAUUUCUAGCAAUAACAUGAAUUUUGUACGAAUUUCUAGCAAUAACAUGAAUUUUUACGAAAUACUAGCAAUAACAUGAAUUUGCGGAGGCCGGGGCGGCGGAACGGCGGAGGCGGGGACGGAGAGAGGUGGCCGCAGCAACGAUUAAUUUCUACCAAAUUUCUACUAAUUUGUCCAUAUUUAUUGGAAUUUCUAGCAAUAACAUGAAUUUGCGAUGGAGGCGGAAAGGUGGAGGCGAGGACGGAACCACGGACGGUGCCUAGGUUGGGACGGCGGCGGUUAGGGCGGCGGGACGGCGGAGGCGGGGACGGAACCACGACGAAACACGAUUCAUUUCUAACCUAGGCAGAGCGACGAACCUAAUUACUACUAAUUACUACUAAUUUACACUAAUUUGAUUUUCUAACACAUAUACAAAAAUCUAUUAAAUUUCUACCUAAUUACUACUCCUU